GCCCCUGGGCUGGGAGGAGGCGGCUGCGGCCGCGCGGGUGGCCUCGGGGGCUGACCUUGUCUCUUGUGCCUGCCGGGCGCCUGGGCCAGGUCGGCCUGGGGCAGGCGGGCGUCGGAGGGGCAGUUUUGAAGCCCGAGUGAGGAGGCAGAGGGCGGGAUGCGGACGAGGCCAGGGAGUUCACGAAACUUCUGGAGUUCUCAGUUUCCUCCUAAGUCGACUGGGGCUGGGUCCCGUGCCGCCAGGCGGGCUGGCUGAGGGGAUGGGCUGGGGCGACAAGACAGCAGCCACCUGGCCCGGGUACUUGGGGUCAGACCGGCUUCGAGGCCCCCGGACCGCCGUGUUAUCAGGACGGGUAGGGAGCCCACGGGACGCGUGGUGCUCAGAAGAGCAGGGAGGCGUGUGGACGGGGCCUGCCCGAGCUGCAACACCCCGUGCCUCCAGGCUGCGAGACCCGCCCAGAUGAGAAAAUGGGGCCUCAGAGAUGAUGGCUGAGCUGUGAAAAGGUGGGGUCAGAAGCCAGGCCCAGUCUCCUGAAUUCCAGACUCCAGAAUCUCCCCCAGGAUUGAGCAAGCGUCAGUCAGACACUCCAGCCUGCCAGGACUGUGCCAGGACAAGGCGACACCAGACCCUGUCCUCCGGCCACAUCAGGGAGGGGUUGGCGAACAAGGGAAGGAACAACAGGAAGGUGCCAGUGGAGAGACCAGGCGUGUGCGAUGGCGGUGGCAGUCCUCCUUCCUGCAGAUCACCCAAAGCCAAACAGCAAGGAAAUGCAGGCGCGGGCAAGCAAAGCCAGGAGCCCCUGAUGCCCACGCUGUUAGCCACCCAUCCACCUGGGUGCGGAAGAUGCUCUCGGGCUUCACACUGAGAGAGAGGCUGGAGGUGGGUGAUGGCCCAGGUGAGUUCAGAACAGGCUGUGGGGCGGGGGCACUCCCACAUCUCUAGCAGGGCUUAGAGAAUAGGCAAAAGUGGAUUCCAAACUCGGCGAGGCAGUGAGUAUCCCCUCCAUGGAGGGUAACCGAGCCUCUCUGGGGACUCCUGGGGUGGUAGACGGGAGAGGAGAUUUCUCCCCGGAGGGGAGACCAGCCUGCUGGCCUGGGCUCGGCAGCAGCUGAAACUCCUUUUGGGGAAUUUUCUUGGGAGCUGAUUUAUGAGGCACAGGACGAGCCCAGUGUGGUGCAGCCCCACCCUGCUUGUGUCCAAACACAGCCUGUUGCUGUGGGCACCCUCACCUCGCUCCUGGCCCAGGGAAGGGCGACUUGCCAGGGCACACAGAGCCUCCUACCAGGAGCCGGCCUGAUCCCUAACCUCUGACCCUGGGAGCAUUUGGGCGGUGCUGGCUGAGGAAGCAAAACUGCCAGUGUGGUGUCCAUCACACUUUCUACAUGUUUUAGCAGCAGGGUGUUUGUUUGUUCAUUUAAGAGACAGGGUCUGGCUUUGUUGCCCAAGCUGGAGUGCAGCAGUGUGAGCAUGGCUCACUGCAGCCUUAAACUCCCAGGCUCAAGCGCUCCUCCUGCCUCAGCCUCCAGAGUAGCUAGGACUGUGACAUGUGCCUCCACAGCUGGCUUAGCAGCAGAUUUCUUCUUGCAAACAAAACCUCACAAGGAGGAACUCCAAGUUAGAGAACUAGCUUAUUCCUAUACUAGCAAGCAUCAGCCGAACACCUACAUGUCAGGCCUGCACAAGACAAGGUGAUAUCAGGCCCCGUCCUCCGGCCACAUCAGGGAGGGGUCAGUGAACAAGCCAAGGAGCGACAGGAAGAUGCUGUGAGCACGGCCAGGAGCAUGCAGGGGCAGCGGCUGCUUCCCCUCCCUGCAGAACACACCACCUAAGAGAGAAGCUGCUCAUAACUGGAGAUCAGCAGCAUGCCCAGUUCACAGAGAGGGAAACAGAGGCACGGUGGGAGCAAGUAACUGCGGAGAGGGAUCGGUUAAGGAAGGAAUGCAAUGGGAUGAGGCCUAGGUAUCUACCCAAAAGAAUUAAAAGCCAGGACUCGGCCGGGCGCGGUGGCUCAUGCCUGUAAUCCCAGCACUUUGGGAGGCCGAGGAGGGUGGAUCAUGAGGUCAGGGGUUCGAUACCAGCCUGACCAACAUGGUGAAACCCCGUCUCUACUAAAAAUACAAAAAUUAGCUGGGCGUGGUGGUGGGCGCCUGUAAUCCCAGCUACUCAGGACGCUGAGGCAGGAGAAUUGCUUGAACCCGGGAGGCGGAGCUUGCAGUGAGCCAAGAUCGCGCCACUGCACUCCAGCCUGGGCGACAGAGCGAGACUCUGUCUC